rnacentral:rRNA from 1 species
AUUGAGCGCUGGCGGCAGGCCUAACACAUGCAAGUCGAGCGGAUGAAGGGAGCUUGCUCCUGGAUUCAGCGGCGGACGGGUGAGUAAUGCCUAGGAAUCUGCCUGGUAGUGGGGGAUAACGUCCGGAAACGGGCGCUAAUACCGCAUACGUCCUGAGGGAGAAAGUGGGGGAUCUUCGGACCUCACGCUAUCAGAUGAGCCUAGGUCGGAUUAGCUAGUUGGCGGGGUAAAGGCCUACCAAGGCGACGAUCCGUAACUGGUCUGAGAGGAUGAUCAGUCACACUGGAACUGAGACACGGUCCAGACUCCUACGGGAGGCAGCAGUGGGGAAUAUUGGACAAUGGGCGAAAGCCUGAUCCAGCCAUGCCGCGUGUGUGAAGAAGGUCUUCGGAUUGUAAAGCACUUUAAGUUGGGAGGAAGGGCAGUAAGUUAAUACCUUGCUGUUUUGACGUUACCAACAGAAUAAGCACCGGCUAACUUCGUG